GACCAAAGAUAUGAGGUUCCAAUGUAAGUAUCAUUACAUAUAGUAACCUUUCACUACAUACAUAUAUAUAUAUAUAUUAUAUUUUAUAAAAUUUAAAAAGUAUAAUUAACACUAAAAAUGUUUGUUUUAAUGUUCACAAAAAGUACACAACUAAAUUUUCAUUUCACAAAUAAUCUACUUUUUUCCCCAAUGUUUUUAAUUUUAUUCUUCUUUCAGAUACAAGAUACAUAUAUCACCACUCAACAAGAUGUUUAUUGACUAAACCAACAUAAAAUAAAAAUUAAAAAAUUGAUACAACUUCCCUUUCAAUGAUAUGCAUCAGUGCCCAUCCCAUAUAACCUUGAAGACAUGUCUGACACAAAGCGUUGCCUCAGAGAAAUCAUAUUUCGGAAGAAGUUUUGUGUCAUGGGCGGGACGUGGUUGGGCAUCACAACACUACAGACACUCAGCAUGUCAUACAACAGAACAAAAAAAAAACUAUCAUUGCAUGGAGACACAAACUUGUUUAAUUUUUACAAAGAAUAAAUAGUUGAGAAAAAAAAAAAAAGCCCUUUUCC